AUUGAACGCUGGCGGCAGGCCUAACACAUGCAAGUCGAGCGAGCGGCGGACGGGUGAGUAAUGUAUGGGAAACUGCCCGAUGGAGGGGGAUAACUACUGGAAACGGUAGCUAAUACCGCAUACUAUCGGAUGAACCCAGAUGGGAUUAGCUAGUAGGUGGGGUAAAGGCUCACCUAGGCGACGAUCCCUAGCUGGUCUGAGAGGAUGAUCAGCCACACUGGAACUGAGACACGGCCCAGACUCCUACGGGAGGCAGCAGUGGGGAAUAUUGCACAAUGGGCGCAAGCCUGAUGCAGCCAUGCCGCGUGUAUGAAGAAGGCCUUAGGGUUGUAAAGUACUUUCAGCGGGGAGGCGUUACCCGCAGAAGAAGCACCGGCUAACUACGUGCCAGCCGCCGCGGUAAUAC
rnacentral:rRNA from 1 species